rnacentral:rRNA from 1 species
AUGGUUGUCGGUGUGGUGUUCUUCCUCUUGGCCGUGCUUCUAGCAGCGGCGGUCACUGGGGGCAGCGCGGCGCUCGUUGAGCAUACGUUUGUCGUGAGCCAGAUGAAGCUGAAUCACAUGUGCAACGAUACGCUUGUCACCGUGGUGAACGGGCAACUCCCCGGGCCGGCAUUAGAGGUCAGGGAAGGAGACUCUGUGGUGGUUCAUGUCAUCAACAAGUCGCCCCAUGGAGUCACAAUUCACUGGNNNNNNNNNAAGCAACAGCUCAACUGCUGGGCUGAUGGGGCAGGGAUGAUCACCCAAUGCCCAAUCCAGCCAAGCAAGAACUUCACAUACCGGUUCAACGUAAAUGGCCAAGAGGGCACGCUGUGGUGGCACGCGCACGUCGCUUGCCUCCGUGCAACCAUCCAUGGAGCCUUGAUCAUACGACCAAGAUCUGGUCUCGACUCAUACCCGUUUCCAGUACCUGACAAGGAGAUCCCCAUUAUUAUAGGUGAAUGGCGGGAGACAGAUCUUGUGGAGUUAGAUAGGAGAUUCGGGAGAAGUAACUAUGCCGAUCUGCCCCGUUCAUCUAUGAUCAAUGGGAAGCUUGGGGACCUCAAUAAGUGUUCUGGGGUCACAGAAGAGAACUAUGUUCUUAAUAUGGAGCAUGGCCGGACGUAUCUGUUACGGAUAGUGAACGCUGCGCUCCACCCGCAGUACUACUUCAAGAUCGCCGGGCAUACGUUCACGGUGGUGGCUACGGAUGCCAACUACGUCAAACCCUACACGACGGACACCAUCGCCAUCGCGCCAGGCGAGACCGUCGACGCGCUGGUCGUCGCUGACGCUGCACCUCCCGGCGGCAGAUUUUACAUGGUCGCCCUGGGCAUCAUCUCGUUGGGGCCUUCCCAGACACGGCCGGUGUUCAUUUCACGAGGAGUCGUGUCCUACACCGCCAACGACCCAAGCAAAGAAAUAUCAGACGAUACUGAUUCGAUAAUGGUCCCUGAGAUGCCAGACUUUCGUGAAGAAACCACAUCCUUCUACUUCCAUGGCAACCUGACCAGCCUGCGGCGGCCGCAGCCAGUGCCGGCAGACGUUGACGUGCGGCUGCUCAUUGCUGUAGACACGGGGAACUUGUGCAGACAAGGCAGUGUACCAUCAGCACCAUCCUACUGCAUGGUGACCCGCAUGAACAACAUCUCCUUCCAGCUUCCGGCGGCGACAUCGCUCCUCCAAGCACAUUACAACGAGGAUAUCGCAAUGAUCAACGCGUUGGAGGACUUCCCAAGCAGGCCACCGGCGAGGAUGGUGUUCGACCAGGGCCACACGUCAAAAGCAACGUACGUCAGUGUGGAGGGUGCGGUACAACGCCACAGUGGAGAUCGUUUUUCAGGGACCGCCGACGACGCCCAGCUACUCUAA